UACGUAGGGUGCGAGCGUUGUUCGGAAUUACUGGGCGUAAAGAGCUCGUAGGUGGUUUGUCGCGUUGUUCGUGAAAACCGGGGGCUUAACCCUCGGCGUGCGGGCGAUACGGGCAGACUGGAGUACUGCAGGGGAGACUGGAAUUCCUGGUGUAGCGGUGGAAUGCGCAGAUAUCAGGAGGAACACCGGUGGCGAAGGCGGGUCUCUGGGCAGUAACUGACGCUGAGGAGCGAAAGCGUGGGGAGCGAACAGG
rnacentral:rRNA from 1 species